rfam:Hordeum vulgare subsp. vulgare, WGS project CAJW01000000 data, contig: morex_contig_2552728
CUUAUACUCCCUCUGUUCCAAAAUUCUUGUCUUAGUCUUGUCUAAAAAUAAAUAUACCUAAAUACUAAAACAUGAUUAGAUAUAUUUAUAUUUAGACAAAUCUAAGACAAGAAUUUUAGGACGAAAGAAGUAUUUA